UACGGAGGGUGCGAGCGUUAAUCGGAAUUACUGGGCGUAAAGCGUGCGUAGGCGGUCAUGUAAGUCGGAUGUGAAAGCCCCGGGCUCAACCUGGGAAUUGCAUUCGAGACUGCAUGGCUUGGGUGCGGAAGAGGGAAGCGGAAUUUCCGGUGUAGCGGUGAAAUGCGUAGAUAUCGGGAGGAACACCGGUGGCGAAAGCGGCUUCCUGGUCCGACACCGACGUUCAGGCACGAAAGCGUGGGGAGCAAACAGG
rnacentral:rRNA from 1 species